AUGUGCUACUGGUGUAGGAGGGGCCAACUUCUGCAGCCCGACCACCGCUCGCCAUGGUGCUGCAAGCGUCGCUGUCAUCGCCUCGCUAGAGCUGCAAUUCAGCCGUUGAGCUGCAAGUUCUUCUCUCCUCAUUUCCCUCUCCAACUGGUCCUCUCCCCGCCUCCCUACGACCUCUUGAAGCCAUGGCCGCCACUCGAGCGGGCAUGCCCGAGCUCCGCUCCGGCCUCCCUUCUCCCCUCAAUCAUUGUUCGGUCCGGCGCCGAUGCUUUUUUAUACUUUUCCACAACAAGGGCCUUGUUGCAGAAGUCCACCCGCAACAUUAUCUCUGUUGCGGAAAUUUCUCGAUUCACACCGACAUCAUCCUUUUUAGUGAAAAAAUUCUGCAACAUUAUUCAUAUUGUGAAAGUCCUCCUGCAAGACUAUGUGCAACUAGACCCAAUAUGCACCAAGCGUGUCGUGUGUUCUCUUCAACAUAGAUGGUCGUCCAUCCAAGAGGCCGUUACCAAAUUUGUUGGUUAUUUCAAACAAGUUGUAAGCCGGAACCAAAGCGGCAUUGGAGUUCUAACCCAUGCAACUUUGACGACGGCUUUGUACCAUCAAGUGGAGAAGAAGUCAUUCAUUUUUUUUCAUUGUUGGAUGAAAUUAAAUGGGGGGCCCAAGUGGCAGAACGUCCUCAAGGAAAUUGAGAAUGGCAUGAAGAAAAUGAAGAAAAACGAUGGGUCGAUCUCAGCUCAAUCAAUUGGAGUGGACGAGGAAGGGGAAGAAGAAAAUGUUGCAUCCGACUUACAACCAACCGUGCCAAAAAGAAACCGGUGGCGCGUGAAGAUGCGGCGCGUGAAGGUGCGACAAGCAAAACAUCCGCCACUUGGACGGGCAUUUUUUAUGCCAAGGAGGAGAGGUAGAAGAUGUUCAAUGAUGUGCAAAGGGAGAAGAUGA
rnacentral:rRNA from 1 species